rnacentral:lncRNA from 1 species
AAAAAAAAACCACUAAAAAAUAAAAACACAAGAAAUCUGAGAAACCAAAAAAAACAUAGACCAAACUGGGUUUUUGAAUCAAGAAAAGUUUUCUAGAUUUAAAAUAGGUAGUUCAAAUUCAUUUAGUUAUGUGAUUUUAUAUAAUCAAAUGAAUCUAAACUAUUCAUGUUAAAUUCAACAAAAUAUUUAUUGAUUCAAAUUCGGGACUAUAGCAUUCUGAAAAUUAAUCGAUGAGAUUGCCAAACAAAGAAAAAAACAAGUCAUCCACUAUCAUUAAAUUAGAAGGUUUGCUUUUAAUCCAUUCAUACAUAACGGUCAGAAAAUCUAAUCCUUUUUUCUUAUUCUUUUUAAUUAUAUCAUAAUUCUGCUUUGCUUUUAAUCCAUUCAUAAAUGUACUUUAAACUUGAUCUAUAACGUUGACUUCUUCAUAUUUCCAAUGAAAAUUAGACAAUCGUUUUAAGCCAUGAACAUGGCGUCAAGAUCCGAAUUAGGCUCGAAGUCUUCGGACCAUGUGAUGAAUUAAUUAAUCGAUCAGGCUUGUCCGCAGUAAAAAUAUAUAUACAAUCGGUGCAAUUUAAGUAUUAUAGACCUUAUUUUGAGCUAAUUUGAUAAUCCAUACCGUUUAUAACAUAUACCUCAACGAGAAAUUUAAUACUGUAAAAUAUUACGUUGAUCCAAUACAGACCAUUAGUCGAUCAUUAUCAAUUUAUAUUAAGCUAAAUGAAUAUAAUUCUGUUUGUCACAUUAAUUUAUUAAGUUAUAAAACAAAAUUAAAAAAAUAUUAAAUUAUUCCUAACUAGUGUAAUUUUUUAUAUUACUGAUAUUUACGAUGAAUUCAAUGGUAUAAAUAUUUUGAAUAAUCAAAAUAAAUAAAAAUAGAAUUUAAAAUACUUAGACUACAAUGAACCAUUCAACGGAAUUCUAUUUCAUUUUCAAAACAGAAAAAAGAGGAAAUUUCAAUGCACUCACUGGAUUCCAUUAGAGUCACAAUGUCAUUCUCUUUACUUUCUAAAAUCACAUUGUACCCCCUUACUUUAUGAUUUUAUAUAACAGUUUUGUUCAAUAAUCAAUAAAAAGCUCUAACUGAAUGAUUAUUUUCCCCUUAAUUUCCCGUGCUUAUCUCUAUAAAUAAGAAACAGAUUGAAACCAACCACCACCGAUCCACUACCACCACCACAACAAUCAUCUCUAUUGAAAAUUGUCACUACCAUUAUACUACUCCAGUGGAAGUUGAAGGUGGGAAGGGAUAAUUGGUGGCUUGGUUUCAUUUAAUUUUUGCCUCUUACCCUCUAUUAAAGAUAAUAAAACAAUAUAUUUUCACAGUGUGAUUUCAUAGAAUAAAGAGAGUGAAGUGUAAUUUUAGAUUAAUGCAGGGGUAUCAAUGAGAUUUACCCAAAAAACACCAAUUUUAAAUCAAAAUAUCUGCAAUACACGAAAAAGAAGUACAAUAAUAGUUUUUAAUUUACAAAACGUGAGCCCCAAUUAUUUUGAACAUGACAAAUUUGACCACGUUGACUGGGUCCUACACAUGUCCUUACUUGUCAUUUCACUGCUUUCUAUUUAGCAGCAUUUUGUAAAAAAUCAGACACUCCACCAGAAUGUAUCAGUAGUUAGCCGUUCUGAGUAGUGCCGGUGGCGCAGUCACCUCGAAUCUUCGCCCCGUGGCAUAAUUUUGCCAGAAAGGUCAUGUCAAUCUAGGGAGGUGUAAUGCGGUCGUACGGUAGUCCAGCUGGUGUGCAACACAGAAGAGCAAAGGCAUCGAACUUUUUUCGAUAAAUUACACUGACAUCCCCUUUAUGGAAAUUAAAAUAACACUGUUAUCUCCUCUAUUAUUUGAACACACUGACGGUUCUAGACUUACUUAGAAGAAGUGGGGGAAAACUUUAGUUCCUCCGUUAGUUGACCUAACAGAAUUGACUGGUGUCAUCAUUUUCCCCCUUAACUCUCACAAUACCCACAUCGUAUAAUUACCGAUGAGGUCCACCUCCCUUUAUCAACCACAAGCAUAGACUCUACCAUAGUUUCAGCGACCAUAAAACCAUAUUCUUGACACUUUAAUCCUUAUCUCCGCCCCCUGUCACAUACCUCUUCCCUCAAUUUGACAAAAUAGAGAGCCAAAGAGCCUUUCUCUUUUUGAUACCAAAAUAACUGACCCAAAAGAAAACCCGGGACACAACCCUUCCUAUCACAUCUUGCAAUUCUCGCCCCCAUACACACCGUAGGUCCCCUUGCCAAUUUAAGUAAUAGGCACAUUCGUACGUUACCGACAAUUGAUUUAGCACCCUCCAUCACCAGCUAAAGCUUAAAGCUACAAGGUUCUGAUAGUUUCUAGUUAUAUGAGAUCUAGAAGACUGGUAGAUUUGUGAAAAUAAGAGACAUAAUUAGAGAUGGACCCCCGUUACUCGGCAUUGUAAUGCACAAGUUAUAAUUAAUUUGGAUGAAUGGAGUUCUACACGAAUAUAGUAACUCCAGAUGUAAUGUAACAAUGUUAUCUGGCGAGGGAUAUGAGUGAUAUUUUAAGGAAUAAAGGGUAUGAUGAUGGAGCAUCAUUGAAAUGCAGGGUGUAUCAUUUUAAUUUAUUCUAAAAUUCACCCACUUUUAUACGUACAAUAAAUACUUUUUACAGUUUCACUUUGUGAAGUUAUUUUCCUCGAUAACCACAAUACUCACCAGUCCGUACGUCUUACGCCUCUCCAGCCUGGCCUUUGAUAAUAGUACAUUCCAGUGGGUCGGACCAAAUCUAAAAAGGCCCGAACCGAGUCGACCCGCCCAUCAGUCUGAUAAAAGCAACACGCAGUUAUUUUCUCUAGAAUUGGGCAUCAUAAUCGUGUGAGGCCCACGCACCAAAAAAUGUACCCAGUUUUCAAUAGAGGUGCAAGUUCAAGUAUUUAGAUUUAUUUUUGAAAUAUUUUAAUAAUUUAAAUCGUUUAUAUUAUAUAUUUUAUUAAGGAGUUUAAUUUUUAUAAAAAAAUAUGUUGAUUGGAUAUAAAUUAAUAGUUGAUCGAUAUUAAUUUACAACAAAAUAAGUAAGCAUAAUCAUGUAUGUCGCACUAAUUUUUUAAUUAAUAAAAUAGUAUUAAACUGUUAUUGAUUUGUAUUCGAUCAACAUGAGUUUUUAUAGUAUUAAUUUUCACGACGAAGAUUACAAUGUAUAAUGUUUAAAUCAACAAAAUUGAAAUAAACUUAAAAUACUUGAAUUGUACACGCGCAUUAAUAAAUUUAGAAGUUGCCAUCAAAAGAAUUCAGAAAAGCACUAGAGGCUUCUAAACUUCUAAAACCAACUGACUAACUUAUUCAUAUUGCAAGACACACUAUUAAAUUAAAAUUUUAUCAAAAAAAACUAUGUUAAAAAAUUAAUUUGUGUGCUAAUUGCAUCACUUUUUUCUUAAAAAAAUAAUUACAAAUAAAACUACCUCAAUGAGUAAAGUUUGUGAGAGCUAAGUGGAGUAAUUCAUUUGCGGACCCAAUUUUUGGGUGGAUUCCGACUAUCAAAAUUGUUGAACCGCGUGUGAAAUGAGUUCUUCUCUGUGAGUUGAUAACCGUAAUGUAUGCACUUAUUCAAAACGGAUAAGAGGUGAAUGAUAAAUUAUUUAUCCAAAUGCUACCAUUGAUAUGAAAAAAUAUGGAUAAAGUUAAAAAGUCUCCAUCGCUUGGUUGAAAUCUUUUUAAAGUGUUAAUAUAUACCAAGCUAACAUUAAUAGAUAAGUACUUAGAGCCUCAAAGUUUUAACAGAGGGAGUUAUAGACAAAAUGCACAUUGUACACUAGUUUUUCAUGCGCACGCGCGGAUUGGGUGAUGAACUCGAUUAGAGACACAGAAAGCACUUGGCACAUAAGUGUGAUGGGGAAUUAAUUACUUUUUAGCCCCUAUAAUAUUUAAUUAUAUAAUAACUCACUGUUUUAUUCAUAUUCACUGAAAUUCAUAACAUUUUAAUUCUGGUAACAACAGUCAUAAGAAUUAAAUAAUUUAAUAGAGUUAUUACAAGGGAUUCAAUGGUGAAAUAAAUUAUUGAUUUUUAGUUGCAGCUUGAAAGUUUAUAAGUUUCCAACACCUCCAGCAAUUUCAUUGCAUAGAAAUUCGAGAGUUCAUUAAUAGAAAAAAAAUCAGUUGAUUUCUGGCAUCCUCCAUUAGAGUCUUCUUGAGAGAGCAACAUUGUUAAUUGGUUUACCGAGCACAUGACAAUCGCUGCCAAUUUAUGUGCCCAUGACCGUUGCAUAUUGGGAGACAGAAGCCAAUCAGACGUAAGAACCAGUGAUGGGGCGAAUUUUAUCUUAAGGAGACAAUGUUAAACGCUUGUCUCGGUCCACUGUUAAUUUUUAUGUUAAUUAUUUACUAUUUUAUUGCUUAUUUAAAUGCAUAAUUUAUAAAUUAUAAUAAUCUGAUAGUAUAGAUUUCAUAUUUAAUUUUAUAAUUUAUUUUUUACAUAUAAAUUCUUGAAUUUUUGAAUAACAGUAGGCAUGUUCUCGUACGUGUUGAGCUGUAAUAUAAAAAAUGACAAACCCUCUCUCACAUGAUAAGUAUUGCGGGAUAAUAAAAUAUCAUAUUUUAUUUCGGCUUCAGCUGUGGGGCUAGCCUGCCGCGGACUAUAAACUUAUCUCGCAUUCAUGGAAGCUUUUCUUUUCACCUUUCGCUGUGUGAGAGCUCCAUUGACAGGAGACGACAUAUGUCAAGAUGGAGAUGUCCAAGGCCAGACUUCAGGGGCAGACGAUAAUGUACACGACAAGUUCAUUUGCCACUCGCACACAUGAGCCCAAGCUCUAAUGAUGCGAUGGGCUAGCCACCAACCACACCUUAGGAUCAUUAUUGGGUCAGUUGCCUACUUGCUAACAUGAGAGUAGGUCCGUUCUCAUACGCACUAGCGUAUUAGAAAGGAUAAACACUCCUCUCACAGUACGCAAUUCUCUUUCCUCCUUCCUCUCUCUUAAAAUCAAGAGUCCUACUCUUCUCUUGUUUUUCUCUCUCUUUUUUUAGUCAUAAACUUAACUGUUAAAAAAUCGUCUCUGGAAUAGAUCUAGACGGUCUUUUUCACUGUUACUGUCUUGUAGGUCUAUCGUGCUGCAGUGCUCUACUACUAGAAUUCGCUAGCAUUUAAUUUUAAUUUUCUUUCAUCCCAACAACUCCGCAAAGUAGAAUUUACAUAACCCAUAUAAAAGAAUUUGCAUACUUAUGAGUAUAAGUAUUUAUGUUAAUAUUAUUUUUAUUAGUUUUAUGUCAGGCUUAAAUAUAAAAUCGGACGUCGGUGGAGAUCGAAGGAUAUGUCGGGCAUGUUUAAGUUAUGAAACACCUUUCGGCUUUCUGUCCUGUCCCACACCGAAUAUGAAGUGAUAAAAAUGGUGAAGUCCUUUUGUUUCUAUUUGUGCGCUGACGUUUGAUGUUGUUGGUGGGGUCGCUUCAUUGCUAUAGAAUCAACAAUACUUACAAUACCAGUUUGGAUCUAUACUCGUACGAUCAUUAUUAAAAACCGAUUAGACAGUAGCUAAAAGAACAUACAAAUCAUCAUUAUAGCAUUUACAACGUCCACGUCAGCCUCACUAUAUUUAAGUUAAAUUAUAAUUUAAAAAAUAUAAAUUUAUUUUAAUUAAUUAUUUUUUAACACUAAUUUCAUUAGAAAUUUUAUUCUAAUUCUAUUUCAUUAGCCUCUUUAUUCAUUCUAUUCUCAUUUUUUUAAUGUAUAAAUGAUAUAUUUUUAAAAUGAUCAUAUUUUUAAAACUGUUAUGUUAUUUAAACGGUGAUAUUUUUUUUCAAUUCAUAAAUUUUUAAUUGAAUAUAUGGCGAAUAGAAAAAAACCGAAGUUAGAAAGGAUAAUUGAUAUAAUUAUAAGCAAAAGGAUCUAAACAACAAUAUUUGAUAAAAGCAUAAGGAUGCAAAAUAUAAUUUAUGAUUUAAAUAGCAUGUGAAUAGUGAGUAAACAUUAUAACAAAUAUAUUUUUUUUGUAGUUAUUUUAAUUAAUCUGAUGUAAAAUAUAUUUUUAAUUUUUAUUGAUUAAAUUAGCAAAAAAUAACUUUUAAUCAACCUGACGUGAAUGCUCUUAUAGAUGAUCUUUUGAAAGAACUUGAUGUGGACCGAAGUUUUGAAUACGGGAUGGUGGAUAUCGUUUUUUAUAUCAUCGCUAUUUUGUUUUGACUAAAAUACCAAUCAGUAUGGAUUUAAAGUAAUACCCAAUAUUCCAUAUGUUUUAAUAUGUACCGUACCAACAGAAACACCGAUACUUUUGUCGGCAUUGUAUUAAAACCCUUGAUUUGGUCCAAUACAUAAUGAGUGAACUUCACCAUAAAUUUUCAUAUUUCUAAACUUUAGGAAAUUCCUGUUCCACCUACAUUUGGGUAACAUCACAUCGACUGAUUAGUGCCUGCAAAUUGUUAUUGGCCUCACCACUAAUCUUAUGUGAUCAUACGUGUAAAAUAAAUGUUAUACAAUCAACUAUAAAACAAACUUAUUGUUGCGUAUUAAACUUGUAUUUUUUGUUUAAUUUUAAAACAUAACAAAAAAUACGUGUAUUUUUCAGAAUAUCUGAAUUAAACACAUUUUAUUCGAUAAUAGUAUGAACGCAAUCUCUAUAAUCUAUUAACGUUUUUUCUGUAUUAUAUUUUACGAACUAUGUUCUAUGAUGAGCAAGAGACUACUUAGAAAGUAAAGCAGGGUCGGAAAUAUAUUAGAGCAUUCACGUCAAGUUGUCGAAUGUAGUUCUUGGCUACUUUAGUUAGCAAAAAUCUUUAAAAUUAAAAUCAGUUUUGCUAUAUUACCUAGUCAAAUUUGGCAAGGCACUAUACACAUAUUAAAUCUCUUUGGAUAAAUUACAUCAUGCACCCUUAAACUUUUACUAAAAUAUAUAUUUGUACUUUUUAACUCUAAUUAUAUCAAGUAACUUUCUAGACUUGGCCCUUUCAUCUAUAUACUGUUCAAUUAAAAGUCAUGUGGAAUCUUUUUAUGAAGUCGAAUAAAAAUAUGAUCAUAUGAUCAUCUUAAAAAUAUAUUUUAUUAAAAAUCACACCGUUUGAAACAAUAUGACCAUUUGAAAAAUAUAUUUUUCAAAAAAGACUACCAAAUAAGGAAGAAAUAGUAAAUAAUUAAUAUUCUAAAAUAGAAUAUAUAUUUUUUUAAUUAUAAUUUAAUUCAAAUUUAACGAGGUCGGUAUGGAUGCUUUGAGAGGCCUUAUUUGAUUAGCUAAAUACUUCCUACGCUGAAGUUAUGUUUGAUUGGUUGAAUUAAUAAUGCCGAAUAUAUAAUUUUAUAUAACCAGUAAUUCCACUACACUAAUAAUAGUAAAGAAAAUAUCAAUCCUGUAUUCCUCCAAGGACUGUGUAUCUUAUGUUUCGUUUUCUUCUUAUAUUCCUUCAAGGACCGUUUUCACGGGUUCAAUUUUUAGUAGUAUUUAUUAGAGUUUUACAAUUUAAAAAAUAGAUAAAAUAUAAACGUCAGAUUAUAGAGAUACAUUAUAUGUAUAUACGAAUAGAUACAUUAUUAUAAAAUGAAAAACAAAUUAGAAAGUAUAAUGAUUU